rnacentral:rRNA from 1 species
ACGGAAGGCGGCAGUGGGGAAUAUUGGGCAAUGGGCGAAAGCCUGACCCAGCGACGCCGCGUGAGGGAAGAAGGUCUUCGGAUUGUAAACCUCCUUCAGCAGGGAAGAAGGAAGUGACGGUACCUGCAGAAGAAGUCACGGCUAACUACGUGCCAGCAGCCGCGGUAAUACGUAGGUGGCGAGCGUUAUCCGGAAUUACUGGGUGUAAAGGGUGUGUAGGCGGAGAAGCAAGUCAGGCGUGAAAAUUGCGGGCUCAACCCGGAAAGUGCGCUUGAAACUGUUUUCCUUGAGAGUGGGAGAGGUAAACGGAAUUCCUGGUGUAGUAGUGAAAUGCGUCGAUAUCAGGGGGAACACCGGUGGCGAAGGCGGUUUACUGGACCACAACUGACGCUGAGACACGAAAGCGUGGGGAGCAAACAGGAUUAGAUACCCUGGUA